rnacentral:lncRNA from 1 species
AAAAAUAUCAGAGUUCACAUAUCUUUGAAAUUGCUUGAGUUAUUUUGUUUACCACCUAGCAUGAUGCUUAUGAUCUGUUCACUGGAAUCAUGAAGGAAGACAAUGACUUCAGUACAGCUUUAACGAAGGAGCGAGAUUAUUAGUGUCUUGUGUAUACAUCAACAUCUAUGAAAAAGAUUGACAGAGACAUAGAGGGCACGUAUAGCCAAAAUCAACGGUAGUAGCUUGUAUCUUUUUAAUUUAAUGCACGGAGAAAUUAGGGCUGCACAUGCAUACAUUUUCUACAUCCUCUCAAGUAACAAUUAAGGGAUAACACACCAAAAGUUAAUCCAAUUAUCUACUGCCUAGGCGUCAACAGAGACUUAGGACAACAUCUUGGAAAAAAACACUAACAUGAUCUGUCACCUUAUGAACAGCAGAUGCUCACGGUUCCACAACAGCCCACAAAUUUAGGAUCAGAUCUUGCAUUGUUCCUGUAGAAAACCAAAAUCUCAUGUAUUUUCUCACCUUUCUUUAGGCUACAUCUGGGUGACAUUUAAAGAUGUGGAAGGGGGGGAGGGCAUACCUUGAUUGUAGAAGGGGUUGGCGCAACUCGUCGUCCUCGAAUCCAUCAGCAGUCAGGUUAAGUCUGAUGCGGCAUCAUGGAUUCGAAGAUGGGGAAGGGCACAGUUCCUUACCACUGAAUCCGGUGGUGGCAGGGGUCAUCGCAACUGCUCACCGUCAAAUCCCAUGUGGCGGCGGCUGGGGAAGUCAGAUGGGUCUUUGCAAUCACGGGC